rnacentral:rRNA from 1 species
AGUGAACGCUGGCGGUAGGCCUAACACAUGCAAGUCGAGCGGCAGCACAGGAGAGCUUGCUCUCUGGGUGGCGAGUGGCGGACGGGUGAGGAAUACAUCGGAAUCUACUCUGUCGUGGGGGAUAACGUAGGGAAACUUACGCUAAUACCGCAUACGACCUACGGGUGAAAGCAGGGGACCUUCGGGCCUUGCGCGAUUGAAUGAGCCGAUAUCGGAUUAGCUAGUUGGCGGGGUAAAGGCCCACCAAGGCGACGAUCCGUAGCUGGUCUGAGAGGAUGAUCAGCCACACUGGAACUGAGACACGGUCCAGACUCCUACGGGAGGCAGCAGUGGGGAAUAUUGGACAAUGGGCGUAAGCCUGAUCCAGCCAUACCGCGUGGGUGAAGAAGGCCUUCGGGUUGUAAAGCCCUUUUGUUGGGAAAGAAAUCCAGCUGGCUAAUACCCGGUUGGGAUGACGGUACCCAAAGAAUAAGCACCGGCUAACUUCGUGCCAGCCGCCGCAGUAA